rnacentral:rRNA from 1 species
CACGUAGGGCGCAAGCGUUGUCCGGAAUUAUUGGGCGUAAAGAGCUCGUAGGCGGUCUGUUACGUCUGCUGUGAAAACCCGGGGCUUAACCCCGGGCGUGCAGUGGAUACGGGCCGGCUGGAGGCAGGCAGGGGAGAAUGGAAUUCCCGGUGUAGCGGUGAAAUGCGCAGAUAUCGGGAGGAACACCGGUGGCGAAGGCGGUUCUCUGGGCCUGUACUGACGCUGAGGAGCGAAAGCCAGGGGAGCAAACGGG